rnacentral:rRNA from 1 species
AUUGAACGCUGGCGGCAUGCUUUACACAUGCAAGUCGAACGGUAACAGGGACUUCGGUCUGCUGACGAGUGGCGAACGGGUGAGUAACAUAUCGGAACGUGCCCAGUAAUGGGGGAUAGCUCGGCGAAAGCCGGAUUAAUACCGCAUACGCCCUGAGGGGGAAAGUGGGGGAUCUUCGGACCUCACGUUAUUGGAGCGGCCGAUAUCAGAUUAGCUAGUUGGUGGGGUAAAGGCCUACCAAGGCGACGAUCUGUAGCUGGUCUGAGAGGAUGAUCAGCCACACUGGGACUGAGACACGGCCCAGACUCCUACGGGAGGCAGCAGUGGGGAAUUUUGGACAAUGGGCGAAAGCCUGAUCCAGCCAUGCCGCGUGAGUGAAGAAGGCCUCGGUUGUAAGACGUCUUCAGUGGAAGAAAGACGGA